GCUGCAUCAAAAUCCCUAUUUAAAAAUUAGCUUGGAUCUCCUUUAUUAUAGCUCUUCUAAUUGCAUACUAAAGCUUGUUGAAAAUCUAAUAAUGAGUUCUAACUUCCAUAAAAUUUUCAAAAUAAAAAGAAAAAAAAUCUAGUAAAUAGCAUUAAAAGUUCUAAUUAGUCUUUGAUUUUAUCACUUGAAAACUCUAGCAAAUUCCUUUCAACUAAUUCAUUGAAUCACCCUUAUCUCAACUUCUUUUCUUUAUAAAAUAGCUUAUUGAGAAGCUAACAAUAAGAUCUAACUUCUUUUAAAAUUUCAAAACAAAAAGAUGAAAAUUCAAAAAAUACAAUAGAAAACCUCGAAUCAAUCUUGAAUAUUGUUGCCUAAAAAUUCUAGCGACUUCUUUUUACAAAUGUAUAUGGUUUUUCCUCUUUAUAGCUCUAUUUCUUGAUUACUAUAGCUUUUUGAAAAGUUAAUACCACAAUAUAACUUCUUUUGACAUUUCAGAAUAAGAAAAAAAAAAUACAAGAAAUGGCCUAGAAAUCUCUAACAUAUCUUGAAUCUCGCCACCCAAAAACUCCAACGACCCCCUUUUUACAAAUUCGCAUGGUUCUUCCUCCUCAUAACUCCAUUUCUUGCAUACUAUAGCUUAUUGAAAAGCUCACAAUACGAUCUAACUUUGCUUAAAAUUUCAAAAUAAAAAAAUGAAAAU
rnacentral:lncRNA from 1 species